UACAGAGGGGGCAAGCGUUAUUCGGAAUUAUUGGGCGUAAAGCGUCUGUAGGUGGCUUUUCAAGUCCGCCGUCAAAUCCCAGGGCUCAACCCUGGACAGGCGGUGGAAACUGCCAAGCUGGAGUACGGUAGGGGCAGAGGGAAUUUCCGGUGGAGCGGUGAAAUGCGUAGAGAUCGGAAAGAACACCAACGGCGAAAGCACUCUGCUGGGCCGACACUGACACUGAGAGACGAAAGCUAGGGGAGCGAAUGGG
rnacentral:rRNA from 1 species